UACGUAGGUGGCGAGCGUUAUCCGGAUUUACUGGGUGUAAAGGGCGUGUAGGCGGGUCUGCAAGUCGGAUGUGAAAUUCCCAGGCUUAACUUGGGCGGGUCAUCCGAAACUGCGGAUCUUGAGUACUGGAGAGGAUAGUGGAAUUCCUAGUGUAGCGGUAAAAUGCGUAGAUAUUAGGAGGAACACCAGUGGCGAAGGCGGCUAUCUGGACAGUAACUGACGCUGAGGCGCGAAAGCGUGGGGAGCAAACAGG
rnacentral:rRNA from 2 species